UUAUUUUUAUUUUAAUUUUUACAGAAGAAAGAAAAACAAUUGGCUCUAUAUGAGAUAAAUUGCUAUCAUUCAUUAUGUACAAAAAUAUAUUUCAUAGGACUUGGUGGUGGAUUAGUCAUUGUUCGAUCAGAAUCCAGUGGCAUUCUAUCCAUACCUUCUCCACGCCUCAAUCUUGCUUCUUCUGCAAUUUCUCUUGUAGAAAGUUCUGCUUUUGUUAGUAAAGCAGGAAGAUCUUUUUCUGAACCAUCUAUAAACAUUAAACAUAUUUUUAUUAUAUUUAUAUUUUAAAAAAUUCUUAUUCUUCUUUCUACUAUGAUAUAAUAAAAUAACUUACUUUCUAGACAUUUUAUUAAUUCUUGUGCUUUUUGUCUUCUUGCAGCAGCAUCAGCUUUUCUUUGUUCAGCAUGUUCUUUUUUAUCAUAAUAAAAUAUCUCCCUUAUUUUUUCUCGUG